AUUGAACGCUGGCGGCAUGCUUUACACAUGCAAGUCGAACGGUAACAGGCCGCAAGGUGCUGACGAGUGGCGAACGGGUGAGUAAUGCAUCGGAGCGUGCCCAGUCGUGGGGGAUAACUACUCGAAAGAGUAGCUAAUACCGCAUACGAUCUAUGGAUGAAAGCGGGGGACCGUAAGGCCUCGCGCGAUUGGAGCGGCCGAUGUCAGAUUAGGUAGUUGGUGGGGUAAAGGCUCACCAAGCCAACGAUCUGUAGCUGGUCUGAGAGGACGACCAGCCACACUGGGACUGAGACACGGCCCAGACUCCUACGGGAGGCAGCAGUGGGGAAUUUUGGACGAUGGGCGCAAGCCUGAUCCAGCAAUGCCGCGUGCAGGAAGAAGGCCUUCGGGUUGUACACUGCUUUUGUACGGAACGAAACGGCUCUGGUUAAUACCCGGGGCUAAUGACGGUACCGUAAGAAUAAGCACCGGCUAACUACGUG
rnacentral:rRNA from 1 species